UACGAGGGGCUCAAGCGUUGUCCGGAGUUAUUGGGCGUAAAGGGUGCGUAGGAGGUUGUGUUAGUCGAUGUUUAAAGCCUUGGGCCCAACCCAAGAUAAGGCAUCGAAACGGCACAACUCGAGGGUACGAGAGGUGAGCGGAACUCAUAGUGGAGGGGUGAAAUCCGUUGAUAUUAUGGGGAACACCAAAGGCGAAGGCAGCUCACUGGCGUAUACCUGACUCUGAGGCACGAAAGCGUGGGGAUCAAAAAGG
rnacentral:rRNA from 1 species